rnacentral:tRNA from 1 species
UGCAUCGGCCGGGAAUCGAACCCGGGCCGCCCGCAUGGCAGGCUGGCAUUCUACCACUGAACCACCGAUUC